rnacentral:rRNA from 1 species
CCCUUAGAUGUUCUGGGCCGCACGCGCGCUACACUGACUACUUCAACGAGUUGUUUCCUUGAUCGAAAGGUCUGGGUAAUCUUUGAAAGGUAGUCGUGAUGGGGAUAGAUCCUUGCAAUUUUUGAUCUUCAACGAGGAAUUCCUAGUAAACGCAAGUCAUCAGCUUGCAUUGAUUACGUCCCUGCCCUUUGUACACACCGCCCGUCGCACCUACCGAUUGAAUGGUCCGGUGAAAUCCUCGGAUCGAGCCGUGGGGCAACUCCGGUUCGAGAAGUUGAUUAAACCUUACCAUUUAGAGGAAGGUGAAGUCGUAACA